GAAUUUGUAGCUUAGUGGUAGAGUGCUCACCUAGCACGAGUGAGGCACUGGGUUCGAUCCUCAGCACCA
rnacentral:tRNA from 1 species